rnacentral:rRNA from 1 species
UACGAAGGGGGGCUAGCGUUGCUCGGAUUUACUGGGCGUAAAGCGCGUGUAGGCGGUCCGGUAAGUCCGCUGUGAAAGUCGGGGGGCUCAACCCUCGAAUGCCGGUGGAUACUGUCGGGCUAGAGUGCGGAAGAGGCGAGUGGAAUUCCUGGUGUAGCGGUGAAAUGCGUAGAUAUCAGGAGGAACACCGGUGGCGAAGGCGGAUCUCUGGGCCUUACCUGACGCUGAGGCGCGAAAGCUAGGGGAGCGAACAGG